UUCCGGUUGAUCCUGCCGGAGGCUACCGCUAUUGGAAUCCGAUUAAGCCAUGCGAGUCUAAAGGACUUCGGUCCUUGGCGGACUGCUCAGUAACACGUGGAGAACCUACCCUUAGGUAGGGGAUAAUCCCGGGAAACUGGGAAUAAUACCCUAUAGAUCUAGGAUGCUGGAAUGCCUCUAGGUUGAAAGCUCCGGCGCCUGAGGAUGGCUCUGCGGCCUAUCAGGUUGUAGUGAGGGUAACGGCCUCACUAGCCGACGACGGGUACGGGCCCUGAGAGGGGGAGCCCGGAGAUGGACUCUGAGACACGAGUCCAGGCCCUACGGGGCGCAGCAGGCGCGAAAACUCCGCAAUGCCCGCAAGGGUGACGGGGGGAUUCCAAGUGCCUACGCUUAGCGUAGGCUGUUCAAGUGCCUAAAAAGCACUUGGAGUAAGGGCUGGGUAAGACGGGUGCCAGCCGCCGCGGUAAUACCCGCAGCCCGAGUGGUAGUCGGUUUUAUUGGGCCUAAAGCGUCCGUAGCCGGUCUGGUAAAUGCCUGGGUAAAUCGUGGGGCUUAACUUCACGAAUUCCGGGUAGACUACCAGACUUGGGACCGGUUGAAGGAGAGGGUACUCCAGGGGUAGGGGUGAAAUCCUGUAAUCCUUGGAGGACCACCGGUGGCUAAAGCGCUCUCCUAGGACGGGUCCGACGGUGAGGGACGAAAGCCAGGGGAGCAAACCGGAUUAGAUACCCGGGUAGUCCUGGCCGUAAACGAUGUGGGCUUGGUAUUGGGGGUCCCACGAGGGCGCCCAGUGCCGUAGCGAAGGCGUUAAGCCCACCGUCUGGGGAGUAUGGUCGCAAGGCUGAAACUUAAAGGAAUUGGCGGGGGAGCACAGCAACGGGAGGAGCGUGCGGUUUAAUUGGAUUCAUUCCGGG
rnacentral:rRNA from 1 species